UGAGGAAUAUUGUUCAAUGGGCGCAAACCUGAACCAGCCAUGCCGCGUGCAGGAAGACGGUCCUAUGGAUUGUAAGCUGCUUUUACUUGGGAAUAAACCUCUUUACGUGUAGAGAGCUGAAGGUACCAAAUGAAUAAGCACCGGCUAACUCCGUGCCACCAGCCGCGGUAAUACGGAGGGUGCAAGCGUUAUCCGGACUCAUUGUGUUCAAAGGGUCCGCAGGCGGUCUUAUAAGUCAGUGGUGAAAGCCUACAGCUCAACUGUAGAACUGCCAUUGAUACUGUAAGGCUUGAAUUCGGUCGAAGUGGGAGGAAUAUGACAUGUAGCGGUGAAAUGCUUAGAUAUGUCAUAGAACACCGAUGGCGAAGGCAGCGCACUAGGUCGGGAUUGACGCUCAGGAACGAAAGCGUGGGGAGCAAACA
rnacentral:rRNA from 1 species